rnacentral:lncRNA from 10 species
CCGCGACGCCCCCCCGCUGUCGCCUGGCCCGCGACGCACCGAGGCCUGAGGACCCGAAAGCCGGGCGCGGGGAGAUGACCGGUGGCUCGUGACGGUCCCACGGGCAAAAUCUUCCAUCGCCCGGGGCUGAGACUUGUCAAACUGCCCUCUACGGUCACCCGGAAAGUAGGAGGCUUUUUCUGCAGAGGGGAAAAAAAUCAAAAAGAGCCGUUCCAUCCCCCCUCCAAGGACUGGGUUUGAAUUGCUUUUCAUCUGCAGUGGCUGUGAUUCAGCGUCCCUCUUAGCAGCAGGCAAUGACAGAGGCAGGAGAGGGGAAAAAAAAAAAGAAAGAAAGAAAAAACACAGCAAAUGAAUCAAACGGACGUAGCAGGCAAGAGUGUGGUUAUCGUUGGACCAGGAUUCAGGAUCUGACUGAGUAGCUGACUCUUAAUCCAGUUUGUGUUGAUCACCAGGAGGAUCUGGACCUCAGUAUUACCACAUCUAGAGCUAUAAUCACAUCCCUGUUAAGCCUUCCUGAGAUCACACCAAAUGUCCUUGAUGGGAAUUGUAAACAACCCUUACUUCUGGUUUCUAAUGAUAUUCCAGGAAAGGAGCCUAACUAGAGUCAGUGAUAUGCCAACUCCACCUUUGCCUUCCACCAUGUUUGGAAGCUCCCUGAGGCCUCACCAGGAGCAGAUGCUCGUCCCAUGCUUCCUAUAAGCCUGCAGAACUGUGAGCCAUAAUAAACUGUGAAUUAUAAAUUGCCUUUAUAGCAAUGCAAAUGGACCAGUACAGAUGGGAUGCUGGGAAGACAGUUGUUUCCACCUUCAGUAAAGUCCGUGGAACACAGUUGUGACUAUAUUCUAGGCCAGCCAAGAUGCUUGUACUCAGAAAGGAGUGGUCUCAGGACCAUAAGAAAGUGAAAAAAUAAAAAUAAGAAAAUAAAGAAGGGAUUGUCAAUGAAUCAGAAUUCAUCAAGGUCAAAGUCUUAGGAAAUUCCUUCAUGAGGAAGUCUAGGGGGGCUAUGGAAAUGAAAUUUUUAAACAAAUAGGUAUGUGGUGCUGGCAGGAAUAAAUUAUGGACUUAUGAAUAUAACAUAAGAUUCUUUAUUACCUGGUCUCACCCGUCUUUCCACCUCUGCCCCCCUUCUUGCCCGACUCUGUGUAUCACCCAUAAUAAACUACUUACAGCUUCCUAGUGUUAAAUUUACCCUAAAGCUGCCUCCUUCAAUAUUUUAAGUUUAACCUAAAGGUUCUUCAUACAUAGUGAACUAUAACCCAAUGAUUAAACAGAUUGUAACCUACUCUUGUACCAGUCACCAAGUUUCAGCCAAUCAGAGGUGGCCAACUGUUCAAACCAUGCUCAAAUAAGGGAAAUGUCAUGGUGUAACUAAUCCAGCUGUUUCUAUACCUUACUUCUGUUUUCUUAGGUCACUUUCCUUUUUUGUCCAUAAAUUCUCUCCAACCACUCAGCAGCACUGGAGUCACUCCAAAGCUAUCCUGGUUCAGGGGUCUGUCUGAUUCACAAGUCAUUCUUUGUUCAAUUGAGCUCUGCUAAAUUUAAUUUGUCUGAAGUUUUUCUUUUAACAGAUGGUGUCAGAAAUGGACCCCAAAGUAGAGCUCCCAGUGAUCCCCCAGGAGCACUGAGUGACCACAAGGGGUACCUGCUGGGCCCGUCCUCUCGCAGUGUCCACUGCUCUCUUACAGCAACUGGAGAUUGUGGCUGCAUUCUCUCUCAGAUUCUGAAGCUCCAUACAUUGCCGUUUUCAGCUGUUCAAGCUUGCUUGAGCAAAUUUUUGAUCUUAGCUGAGUUUGGAAGUCGAUAGACAUUGGACUGGGUCCAGGAUUUGAUUGGAUCUGAUAAUUAACUGGCUUGGAUCCAGUUAGAUGCCUCGGUUAUCUGACUGGGUCAGAUAGAAACCGCCAGUAAAUAUUUUAAUAACAAUACUGCAGGGGUAUGAACUCUGGCUUUAAGAAACUCACAAGGAAUUUUAUGUUCUAUACCCUUUGUUUCUUUUUCUUGUGUGCUUCGGUCAGGAAAAAUCAUUAGUCAAGUUAAUCAAGGGGAUCUGAGAGCCAAAUACAAGAUUCAACGUAAAAAUGGAAUCCUUGGGCUAGGCGUGGUGGCUCAGGCCUGUAAUCCCAGGACUUUGGGAGGCUGAGGCAGGCGGAUCACCUGACCUUAGGAGUUCGAGACCAGUCUGGCCAACAUGGUGAAACCCCGUCUCCACUAAAAAUACAAAAAUUAGCCAGGCGUGGUGGUGGGCACCUGUAAUCCCAGCUACUUUGGAGGCUGAGGCAGGAUAAUCACUUGAACCCAGGAGGCAGAGGUUGCAGUGAUCUGAGAUUGCACCACUGCACUCCAGCCUGGGCAAAAGAGCGAGACUCCAUCUCAUAAAUAAAUACAUAAAUAAAUAAAGAAAUCCUUAAUUUCUGCGGAACUGAGUGCUCUACCUUCUGGCUACACCUACGUAUACCUGUAUGAGGUAUAGGCCCUGGAAGCAGCAAACACUUACAGAAAUGGUGAAAUCUUACUAAAGACAGAUUCUUUUAAAAGAUUCUUUGUAAAAGGCAAAUAAAAAGCUUAAGUGACUAAUCAGAAAAAUUAGGUCUUCUAACCUUUUGUCAUUGUUACUGUCUUGCCCUGAAAGGGAAAAGAAAGCUGGAUAAAGUAUUUAUAGAAGAUAGAGGACCUGUGGUGGCUCAUGCCUGUAAUCCAAGGUGGAAGGAUUGCUUGAGGCCAGAAGUUCAAGACCAGUCCAAGCAACAUAGCAAGGCCCCAUCUCUACAAAAAAUGAAAAUAAAAUUAGCCGAGCGUGAUGGCUCAUGCCUGUAGUUCUAGCUUCUAGAGAGGCUGAGGCAGGAGGAUUGCUUGAGUCCAGGAGUUCAAGAUUACAGUGAGCUAUGGUCACACCACUGCACUCCAGCCUGGGUGAUGGAGUGAGACUGUCUCAAUAAAAAGACAAAAAGGCUGGCCAGGGGCAGUGGUUCAUGCCUGUAAACCCAGCACUUUGGGAGGCAAAGGCAGGAGGAUUGCUUAAGCCCAGGAAUUUGAGAUCAGCCUGGACAACAUGGUCAAGGAAGCUUUUCCUGAUCCACUAACUAAGGACAAUCAAACCCUUCAUGAUCUAGAAUCUGGAGACUGUGUCUUCUGGGAAUAGUAUCAGAGAAAGACUGCCCUUACUGCCCACAUGUAGCAAAACUUUGAGACGUUGAAUUAUGGGUCCAUAAUCUCACAACUCAGAGGGGCACCUCUAGACUCUUGGAACUGUAUAUCUAUUGGAGACUUUAAGGUAAAGCUGAACAGAGAGACGUUUUUCUCCAGAAGCAGACAGCACCAUAGUCAUGGACAGCUUUCCCAAGAUCACAGAUCAAGACUUCUCUGCCGUCAUGAGACUCAUAACCUCUUAAUUUUUUCUUGCUUAUGCUUCUGUGAACAAUAGAAUUGGAAAAGGGGUGGUCCCGCGUGCACCCAUAGGGUAUACUUUUAUUUGUGGAGGAUUUUGCUGCCAACCUUAUACAUGGGCAAACUUAUGCCUUCAUGGAUGGAAGAUAAAGGGCUAAUAUGGGUUAGAAAUUUUAAUGGUACCUUUGUUUCUCCAUAAUCAUUCAGAAACAGAACACUGGUCCACUCUUGUUAACCUACAUCAUAGGUUGAAGAGAACAUUGCCAGGAGGCCUUCAUCCUUCCAGAUGGGCACCAUUUGUUGGGUCUUUUUCCGUGGUAUGAAGAAAAUGAAGCAAUGAUUAGAAAUUGGUCCCUCGGCCGGGCACAAUGGCUCAUGCCUGUAAUCCCAUCACUUUGGCAGGCCGAGGCGGGUGGAUCACCUGAGGUCAGGAGUUUGAGACCAGCCUGACCAAUGUGGUGAAACGCCAUCUCUACUAAAAAUACAAAAAUUAGCUGGGUGUGAUGGUGCACACCUGUAAUCCAGCUACUCGGGAGGCUGAGACAGGAGAAUUGCUUGAACCUGGGAGGCAGAGGUUGCAGUGAGCCAAGAUCACCCCACUGCAUUCCAGGUUGGGCAACAGAGCAAGACUCUGUCUCAAAAAAAAAAGAAGAAAGAAAGAAAUUGAUCCCUCAUAAUAGGCUGUAUAGCAGAUUCUACUGCAAAGGCUAUGGUUGCACAACAGACUUCUUUGAAUUUGCUUGCUAAACUUUUACUGGAUAAUACUGGGAUUACAGGUGUGAGCCACUGUGCCCAGCCUCUCCUGUUUAACUGUAUUCAUUCUAAUGUUUACUUACUUCUUUAAUUUGUAAAAUUGGGUCACUUAGAGUUUUUUUAGCCUAUCUUGCCAUUUAGCCACUGUUACUGAUAAUUUGGAUGGAAAAGAAAAAUAAAUUAUAUCACCUCUCAUCUUCAGUGUAUAUAUGUGUUAACUUAGUAAAUAUAGUAUUCUUUCUCGUUCCUAAUGAAAAUUUAGUUUACGUACUGAAACACUGCAAACUUUUAUAAAUAUUGUGAUGUAUUUGACCAAUACAAAGGAUCUUUUUAGAAACAGCAAACAGUUCUCAGAUUAUAGGAAUUACUCAUUUAAUGAUAGUUUCUUCUU